UGAGUAACACGUAUGCAAUCCACCUGUAACAGGGGGAGUAACCCGGAGAAAUCCGGACUAAUACCCAUAAUAUGGGCGCUCCGCAUGGAGAGUCCAUUAAAGAGAGCAAUCUUGGUUACAGACGAGCAUGCGCUCCAUUAGCCAGUUGGCGGGGUAACGGCCCACCAAAGCGACGAUGGAUAGGGGUUCUGAGAGGAAGGUCCCCCACAUUGGAACUGAGACACGGUCCAA
rnacentral:rRNA from 1 species